rnacentral:rRNA from 1 species
UACAGAGGUCCCGAGCGUUGUUCGGAUUCACUGGGCGUAAAGGGUGCGUAGGUGGUAGGGUAAGUUCGAUGUGAAAGCUCCGAGCUCAACUCGGAAACGGCAUUGAAGACUAUCCUGCUGGAGGAUCGGAGGGGAGACUGGAAUUCUCGGUGUAGCAGUGAAAUGCGUAGAGAUCGAGAGGAACACCAGUGGCGAAGGCGAGUCUCUGGACGACUCCUGACACUGAGGCACGAAAGCUAGGGGAGCAAACAGG